UACAGAGGUCCCGAGCGUUGUUCGGAUUCAUUGGGCGUAAAGGGUGCGUAGGCGGCGGGGCAAGUCUGAUGUGAAAUCCCGGGGCUCAACCCCGGAACUGCAUUGGAUACUGCCUUGCUUGAGUACUGGAGAGGAGACUGGAAUUUACGGUGUAGCAGUGAAAUGCGUAGAUAUCGUAAGGAAGGCCAGUGGCGAAGGCGAGUCUCUGGACAGUUACUGACGCUGAGGCACGAAGGCCAGGGGAGCAAACGGG
rnacentral:rRNA from 2 species